UUAGUACGGAGGAAUGCGCGGAGUUCAUUAACAAAUUGUUUUCGCUGAUGAGCAAGGAACAUCUCCAGGAAAUGCCAUUCAAACUAGAUCAACUUUUGCCAAUCAGGUGACUAGGUCCUUCUAUUGGCACACCCACGAUCUGAUCUUGCAGACGAUUCUUUCGGUGUUUUUUUUUCCUCAAGCCAGCUUUCUCUCGUUUACCGUCCCUUGUUCCUUCCUCGUGCUCGCUUUGAGUCACGAUACCAAGAAAAACUAUCAUGAUCCAGAGGCCAAAGCGAAGGUUGACUUCGAGUGACGUCAGUUGGAACAAGAGGUAAAGAGAGACGGAGAGAGAGCGAAAAAGGGCGGAAAAAAGCCCAAACUCGGCUCAAGGAAGCGAAUAAACAAAUUAAGAUUCUGUACAACAAGGCCACCUUUCAUCACAACCUUUGAGGCGUAAACACCUCGGGACUCGAUCUUGUUUCACAAUUUCACGGAAGUUCGCCAAGAACUCGCUUAUUGUAAGCAAUCUCUGCGGCAUAAGUGGAUGGAUGGUACGAGCGUACCUCAUACCUCAGUCGUUGGUGACUCUCUGGCCAGGCAAAAAGGCUCAUGAAAAAGGCCACGUGGGUGGGAUGGACUUCCCCGAGAACCAAGUCAUCUGACAGAUAUCCUUAAAGGAUGACAUGGAUGAGUGUUCCUAGAAAUGCUAAGUACAUACACGAAGAGAAACUUUCCAACUAAAUGUGUCAGAUUCAGUAGAUUUGACCGAUGUGGAUCAGUGCUGAUAAUUAUUACAGACUCGGCGAGUUGUUCAAGUGGAACGGUUUCGGCAACGCAAAAACAGCAAAACCCCCCAAAAGAUAAGGAAUACACGCGCAUGACUCAUUUGUAUCAAUCUGGCGAUUUUUUACGAUCGCAACCUCUUUAUCCACAACGCAUACAUACACAAAAAAGAGAUUGACGGUUCAAUGAGUGAGAAUCAAUGUGUCCACAAAUCGAUUCCAAGACGUGCCUGGUCAAGAUAGGACUCGAAACAUACUCAAGUACAUGUAAACGAAUAAUAUCUUGAGAGGGCUCUCUUUCCACGUGGUCGAGCCUGGAAAACUGAUCCGGGAUCCAAUUAUCAAGCAAAUUGCUCUUGAUCCCCCUAACCUUGGAAUGUUCUGGGGACCACCAGAGGGCUGACCGAGAACUGAACGUUCCCGUCACUACCCUACGUACAGAAAGUGGAUUACCUCCUCUCUUUUACCUUCAACGAAAUGUCCUCGUUAAUCAAUCAGCUUCGGGAUUUUCCAAAUCAUCGACGACGUCUAUCCACCACAAUUUGAUCGACAGGCGUUUUGAACCCCAGCAAUACAAAAAGUGUUACCAACGCUUAGAUAUAUGGAAGGACGUCUUCAACAUGGACAAGCAACCAUGGAAAGAAAUAUGACGCUAGAGCACAUUCAAAAGGUCAUAUGGAAAGGUUAUGAAACUCAUGAUAAAUCAUAACACAGUGCCUUUAAUUGCUUGGACUAAGGUUCAGAAAGACGAACUAAAUAUUUUCAUCACAGUUUGGUUGUUUCAUGAAAAAUCUUAUAAAAAGAUACAUUUUUCAAUGUCAUUUUUGAGCAGUUACCUGAGUUGGGAAAACAAAAAUAUUCCCGCCCACAUGCUUAAACUAGAAUGUGAAUUUUACGCUCAGUUGCUGUUUUUCCUUUAGUUCACUGCACUCUAAUUGCCUUACAAUGGUAAUGCUUGUAUUUGAAAUAGUCUAUUAUGUUGGUCCUAGAUCACGAUUUAAGGACGCUUCAUGAUACAAGCCUGUAUUUACCUGAACUACUUGAGCUUCAUUAUCGUCAUCAUAGUAAAUUGUUCAUGUGGGGAUAAGUCAAACAAGAUUACUCUUAAAACCAAAUGAGCAAUCAAUGAGUCGUCAAAAUGAGAAUAGUCAAUUAAUUUUUGCCCAAUAAAAUCAUCAAAACACUUGAA